GACGAACGCUGGCGGCGUGCUUAACACAUGCAAGUCGAACGGAAAGGCCCUGCUUUUGUGGGGUGCUCGAGUGGCGAACGGGUGAGUAACACGUGAGUAACCUGCCCUUGACUUUGGGAUAACUUCAGGAAACUGGGGCUAAUACCGGAUAGGAGCUCCUGCUGCAUGGGGGGGGUUGGAAAGUUUCGGCGGUUGGGGAUGGACUCGCGGCUUAUCAGCUUGUUGGUGGGGUAGUGGCUUACCAAGGCUGUGACGGGUAGCCGGCCUGAGAGGGUGACCGGCCACAUUGGGACUGAGAUACGGCCCAGAAUCCUACGGGAGGCAGCAGUGGGGAAUAUUGCACAAUGGGCGGAAGCCUGAUGCAGCAACGCCGCGUGCGGGAUGACGGCCUUCGGGUUGUAAACCGCUUUCGCCUGUGACGAAGCGUGAGUGACGGUAAUGGGUAAAGAAGCACCGGCUAACUACGUG
rnacentral:rRNA from 1 species